rnacentral:rRNA from 1 species
UACAGAGAGUGCAAACGUUGUUCGGAAUUACUGGGCUUAAAGCGCACGUAGGCGGCGUUGUAAGUGUCGGGUGAAAUCCCACGGCUCACCCGUGGAACUGCCCGGCAUACUGCGAUGCUAGAGUGUGGUAGGGGAGAGCGGAACUCCUGGUGGAGCGGUGAAAUGCGUAGAUAUCAGGAGGAACACCGGUGGCGAAGGCGGCUCUCUGGUCCACAACUGACGCUGAGGUGCGAAAGCUAGGGGAGCAAACGGG